rnacentral:misc_RNA from 1 species
UUUUUUUUUUUUUUAUAAGCUCACCUAAACUUUGUUUCCACCAAAAAAAGGAAAUUGCAUUUCAUUUUCAGUUUCAAACAAAGAUGUGACCUGGGAUAUGGAUCACGAUCCAAGAAGCGCAGCAUCUUGUAGAACGUAGAGUCAUGAACCCUAAUCAUACGUUAAUCAAUCCCUCGGAGUAGCAUCAUCAAAGUCUCUCUCCUGAUCAAGAAAAUGAUGGUGAGUAGCAGAAGAAAAACCAGCAGCCAUAUGUGGAAAAGACCUCGAAAAAUCUUGUUCCGGUUGUUGUUGGUUUACUCCAGAUAAAGAAGCUGAGGGUGAAGAAGAGGCCAUUGAGAAAGAUCCUGAAAGAAAUGGUUCAGGAUUAUAAUUAUAGCAAAGACCUGAAGGUGCAGCAUAUUGUAGAUAGCUAUCAUCGUUGCCAGAAAGCAGCUGCGCAAACUGGAAAAGGUUUGGGAAUGCUUCAUUUGUCGAUGGAGGUGAAAAGGGAUCAUGAGGAGCAGGAUUAAUGUUAGCAAUUGAUGAUGAGGAAGAAACAAGAAGAUUAUUAUUAUUAGGAACAAGAAGCGGGUUUUGGUAAUUAGGUGCUGCAGCCAAGAAGCUGCUGCUGCCUAAAUUGAUAUGAGAUCCUCCUUGAACAAGUUCAGGGAAAUUUAGCUUAGCUUUUGUGCCUUUGAACUUAAGGGCUGCUGCAUCAUAGGCAGCUGCUGCAGCUUCUGCCGUGUCAAAGGUUCCAAGCCAGACACGAGCAGCCUUCUUUGGAUCACGGAUUUCGGCUGCCCACUUUCCCCAUGGUCUUUGUCUCACUCCUCUAUA